rnacentral:rRNA from 1 species
AACGCUGGCGGCGUGCCUAAUACAUGCAAGUCGAGCGAGCGGAACUAACAGAUUUACUUCGGUAAUGACGUUAGGAAAGCGAGCGGCGGAUGGGUGAGUAACACGUGGGGAACCUGCCCCAUAGUCUGGGAUACCACUUGGAAACAGGUGCUAAUACCGGAUAAGAAAGCAGAUCGCAUGAUCAGCUUUUAAAAGGCGGCGUAAGCUGUCGCUAUGGGAUGGCCCCGCGGUGCAUUAGCUAGUUGGUAAGGUAAAGGCUUACCAAGGCGAUGAUGCAUAGCCGAGUUGAGAGACUGAUCGGCCACAUUGGGACUGAGACACGGCCCAAACUCCUACGGGAGGCAGCAGUAGGGAAUCUUCCACAAUGGACGCAAGUCUGAUGGAGCAACGCCGCGUGAGUGAAGAAGGUUUUCGGAUCGUAAAGCUCUGUUGUUGGUGAAGAAGGAUAGAGGUAGUAACUGGCCUUUAUUUGACGGUAAUCAACCAGAAAGUCACGGCUAACUACGUGCCAGCAGCCGCGGUAAUACGUAGGUGGCAAGCGUUGUCCGAUUUAUUGGGCGUAAAGCGAGCGCAGGCGGAAGAAUAAGUCUGAUGUGAAAGCCCUCGGCUUAACCGAGGAACUGCAUCGGAAACUGUUUUUCUUGAGUGCAGAAGAGGAGAGUGGAACUCCAUGUGUAGCGGUGGAAUGCGUAGAUAUAUGGAAGAACACCAGUGGCGAAGGCGGCUCUCUGGUCUGCAACUGACGCUGAGGCUCGAAAGCAUGGGUAGCGAACAGGAUUAGAUACCCUGGUAGUCCAUGCCGUAAACGAUGAGUGCUAAGUGUUGGGAGGUUUCCGCCUCUCAGUGCUGCAGCUAACGCAUUAAGCACUCCGCCUGGGGAGUACGACCGCAAGGUUGAAACUCAAAGGAAUUGACGGGGGCCCGCACAAGCGGUGGAGCAUGUGGUUUAAUUCGAAGCAACGCGAAGAACCUUACCAAGUCUUGACAUCUAGUGCCAUUUGUAGAGAUACAAAGUUCCCUUCGGGGACGCUAAGACAGGUGGUGCAUGGCUGUCGUCAGCUCGUGUCGUGAGAUGUUGGGUUAAGUCCCGCAACGAGCGCAACCCUUGUUAUUAGUUGCCAGCAUUAAGUUGGGCACUCUAAUGAGACUGCCGGUGACAAACCGGAGGAAGGUGGGGAUGACGUCAAGUCAUCAUGCCCCUUAUGACCUGGGCUACACACGUGCUACAAUGGGCAGUACAACGAGAAGCGAGCCUGCGAAGGCAAGCGAAUCUCUGAAAGCUGUUCUCAGUUCGGACUGCAGUCUGCAACUCGACUGCACGAAGCUGGAAUCGCUAGUAAUCGCGGAUCAGCACGCCGCGGUGAAUACGUUCCCGGGCCUUGUACACACCGCCCGUCACACCAUGGGAGUCUGCAAUGCCCAAAGCCGGUGGCCUAACUUUCGGGAAGGAGCUGUCUAAGGCAGGGCAGAUGACUGGGGUGAAGUCGUAACAAGGAGCUGUAGGAGAAC